rnacentral:rRNA from 1 species
UGCCAGCCGCCGCGGUAAUACGGAGGGUGCAAGCGUUAUCCGGAAUCAUUGGGUUUAAAGGGUCCGUAGGCGGGCUAAUAAGUCAGGGGUGAAAUACCACAGCUCAACUGUGGAACUGCCUUUGAUACUGUUAGUCUUGAGUUGUAUGGAAGUAGAUAGAAUGUGUAGUGUAGCGGUGAAAUGCUUAGAGAUUACACAGAAUACCGAUUGCGAAGGCAGUCUACUACGUAUAUACUGACGCUAAUGGACGAAAGCGUGGGGAGCGAACAGGAUUAGAUA